rnacentral:lncRNA from 1 species
ACGCGCCCGCGAGGCUCCGCCCCGCCCCUUCCUGCAGCCGCCGGCCGCUUCCCCGGUGGGUCCUCCAGCCCCUACGCUGGAGGUGGAGGGGUGAGGGCGCGGUCCGACCGGAAAGCGCGGCACCCCGGCGCUCGGCGCUCACUGACUGCCCAACUCCACGGAGACGCUUGCUCUAUUCUCUCCCCACCUGCGCCCGGGACCUGGGAGGGAUGGGCGUGGCCGACCUUUCCUGUAUGGACGGUGAAAAGGCCAGAAGUGACUCUCCUGUCCAGGGUCUCAAGCUGGAACUGGAUCCUCCCUGCUCAGGCUGCGAUCCGCUCGUCGCAUCUGCUGGGCAAGUCUUGAAAACACAAACCUGCUUCCAGCACAAUGCACCUGCCCAUCAUCCUAUAUCCUGUAUCAGAGGUUCCUGGAGAAAUGAAAGCAAAUUGUUUAAUGCAAAGUUUAAUUGGAAAUCUAUUGGAAUUGAUACAGGAAAUACCCAAAAAUAGACUUCUCAUUAAUGUAUAACAGGUAAGCAGUUUCUCUGUGCUUUUUAAAGAAAAGGACAUUUACAUAAUCUAUUUUUACUUGUAUAUAGCUAUAUGGUAUCUAUUUAUGUAGUCUGGUGAGGUAAUACCUCAUUAUAGAAUUAUCUAGGACUAAACAUCUUUCUACACAGGCAAUAAUGCUAGGAGAAAAAAUAGCAGGUAAAAAUUCUUGAUAAAUUAUGGGGAUUAUUAUGAGCUUGGUGUCAUUUAUCUCAGGUUACACACACACACACACACACACACACACACACACACACACACACACUUCUACCCACAGUUUCUGUUUGUCUAUCAACAAUGACUGUUAAUAGCAUAGACUCUAAGCUAAAUUGUGAAAUAGGGCUCUUUUUUUUGCCAUUCAUUCUCCUUUUUACCAGUGUUCUCUUUUUUCCUUUCAGUGUCUGUAUAUCUAUGACCUCUGAGCCUCACCAUCGGUAGGAAUCCACUGUCCUCUCUUCAUCCCUAAUCAAACUUAGAAAUUACCUAAUAUCAGCAUGCUUUGUAGAUUAUACUAUAAUAUAAUGGGGCAUUUUCAUAUUGGUAUUAUAUUCCCCAAAUGAUAUCCUCAUACCCUAUCCCCAUUCUCCUUCCUCCUGGAAUGCAUUCCAAUCCCUUCUAUAUUUUUUCAACUACACAUUUUUUGCCUUUUUUUUUUUUAAGGGCCACACCCGAGGCAUAUAGAAGUUCCCAGGCGAGGAGUUGAAUCAGAGCUACAGCUGACAGCCUAUACCACAGCCACAGCAAUGCCAGAUCUGAACUGUAUCUGCGACCUACACCACAGCUCCUGGCAACUCCAGAUCCCCAACUCACUGAACAAGGCCAGGGAUGGAACCCACAUCCUCAUGGAUACAGGUUGGAUUCGUUUCUGCUGAGCCACGAUGGGAACUCCCCAAUCACAUUUUUUACCACAAAAUAUGAUGUUGAGAUGUGUCUUUUUCCAUAUCCACCCGCAUGUUCAUUGCAGCACUAUUCCCAAUAGCUGAGACAUGGAAACAACCUAAUUGCCCAUCAACAGACAGUUGGGUUAAGAAGAUGUGGUAUAUAUACACAAUGGAAUACUACUCAUCCAUAAAAAAGAACAAAAUAAUGCCGUUUGCAGCAACACGGAUGGAACUAGAGACUCUCAUAUCAAGUGAAGUAAAUCAGAAAGAGAAAGACAAAUACCAUAUGAUUUCACUUAUAUCUGGAAUCUAAUAUAGGGCACAAAUGAACUUUUCCACAGAAAAGAAAAUCAUGGACAUGGAGAACAGACUUGUGGUUGCCAAGAGGGAGGGGAAGGGAGUAGGUGGGACUGGGAAUUUAGGGUUAAUAGAUGCAAACUAUAGCCUUUGGAAUGGAUAAGCAAUGGGAUCCUGCUGUAUAUCCCUGGGAACUAUGUCUGGUCACUUGUGAUGGAGCAUGAUGAUGUGAGAAAAAAGAAUGUAUAUGUAUGUGUGACUGGGUAACCUUGCUGUGCAGCAGAAAAUUGAUAGAGCACUGUAAAUCAGCUAUAAUGGAAAAAAUAAAAAUCAUUACAAAAAAAUGUGUCUUUUUAAU